GUUCAAGCAGCCGCGGUAAUACAGAGGUGGCAAGCGUUGUUCGGAAUUACUGGGCGUAAAGGGCGCGUAGGCGGCCUUCUAAGUCAGACGUGAAAUCCCCCGGCUUAACCUGGGAACUGCGUCUGAUACUGGAGGGCUUGAGUGCGGGAGAGGGAUGUGGAAUUCCAGGUGUAGCGGUGAAAUGCGUAGAUAUCUGGAGGAACACCGGUGGCGAAGGCGGCAUCCUGGACCGACACUGACGCUGAGGCGCGAAAGCUAGGGUAGCAAACGGGAUUAGAAACCCCAGUAGUCC
rnacentral:rRNA from 1 species